rfam:Felis catus isolate Cinnamon breed Abyssinian chromosome C2, whole genome shotgun sequence.
GCCUGGGUGGCUCAGUCGGGUGAGUGUCUGACUUCAGCUCAGGUCAUGAUCUCGAGGUCCGUGGGUUCGAGCCCUGCAUCGGGCU